AUUGAACGCUGGCGGCAGGCCUAACACAUGCAAGUCGAACGAGUGGCGAACGGGUGAGUAACGCCUCGGAACCUGCCGGAUAGUGGGGGAUAACUACUGGAAACGAUAGCUAAUACCGCAUACUAUUCGAGCGGCCGAUGUGUGAUUAGCUGGUUGGCGGGGUAAAGGCUCACCAAGGCGACGAUCAGUAGCGGGUCUGAGAGGAUGAUCCGCCACACUGGGACGGAGACACGGCCCAGACUCCUACGGGAGGCAGCAGUGGGGAAUUUUGGACAAUGGGCGCAAGCCUGAUCCAGCCAUGCCGCGUGUCUGAAGAAGGCCUUCGGGUUGUAAAGGACUUUUGUCAGGGAAGCGGUACCUGAAGAAGAAGCACCGGCUAACUCCGUGCCAGCAGCCGCGGUAAUAC
rnacentral:rRNA from 1 species